AUUGAACGCUAGCGGGAUGCUUUACACAUGCAAGUCGAACGAGUGGCGGACGGGUGAGUAAUAUAUCGGAACGUGCCCAGUAGCGGGGGAUAACUACUAGAAAGAGUGGCUAAUACCGCAUACUAUUGGAGCGGCCGAUGUCGGAUUAGCUAGUUGGUGGGGUAAAGGCGCACCAAGGCAACGAUCCCUAGCUGGUCUGAGGGGACGACCAGCCACACUGGGACUGAGACACGGCCCAGACCCCAAGGGGAGGCAGCAGGGGGGAAUUUGGGACAAUGGGGGAAACCCGGAGCCAGCCAUCCCGGGUGUAUGAGAAGGCCGUCGGGUUGUAAAGUACUUUUGGCAGGGAAGCGGUAUCGGCAGAAUAAGCACCGCCUAAUUACGGGCCAGCCGCCGCGGUAAUU
rnacentral:rRNA from 1 species